rnacentral:rRNA from 1 species
UACGGAGGAUGCAAGCGUUAUCCGGAAUGAUUGGGCGUAAAGCGUCCGCAGGUGGCUGUGUAAGUCUGCUGUCAAAGAGCAAAGCUCAACUUUGUAAAGGCAGUGGAAACUACACGGCUAGAGUGCGUUCGGGGGCAGAGGGAAUUCCUGGUGUAGCGGUGAAAUGCGUAGAGAUCAGGAAGACACCGGUGGCGAAGGCGCU